rnacentral:rRNA from 1 species
GAUGAACGCUGGCGGCGUGCCUAACACAUGCAAGUCGAGCGAUUCUCUUCGGAGAAGAGCGGCGGACGGGUGAGUAACGCGUGGGUAACCUGCCCUGUACACACGGAUAACAUACCGAAAGGUAUGCUAAUACGAGAUAAUAUGCUUUUAUCGCAUGGUAGAAGUAUCAAAGCUUUUGCGGUACAGGAUGGACCCGCGUCUGGUUAGCUAGUUGGUAAGGUAACGGCUUACCAAGGCGACGAUAAGUAGCCGACCUGAGAGGGUGAUCGGCCACAUUGGAACUGAGACACGGUCCAAACUCCUACGGGAGGCAGCAGUGGGGAAUAUUGCACAAUGGGCGAAAGCCUGAUGCAGCAACGCCGCGUGAGCGAUGAAGGCCUUCGGGUCGUAAAGCUCUGUCCUCAAGGAAGAUAAUGACGGUACUUGAGGAGGAAGCCCCGGCUAACUACGUGCCAGCAGCCGCAGUAA